rnacentral:rRNA from 1 species
GACGAACGCUGGCGGCGUGCCUAAUACAUGCAAGUAGAACGCUGAAGAGAGGAGCUUGCUCUUCUUGGAUGAGUUGCGAACGGGUGAGUAACGCGUAGGUAACCUGCCUUGUAGCGGGGGAUAACUAUUGGAAACGAUAGCUAAUACCGCAUAACAAUGGAUGACACAUGUCAUUUAUUUGAAAGGGGCAAUUGCUCCACUACAAGAUGGACCUGCGUUGUAUUAGCUAGUAGGUGAGGUAAUGGCUCACCUAGGCGACGAUACAUAGCCGACCUGAGAGGGUGAUCGGCCACACUGGGACUGAGACACGGCCCAGACUCCUACGGGAGGCAGCAGUAGGGAAUCUUCGGCAAUGGGGGCAACCCUGACCGAGCAACGCCGCGUGAGUGAAGAAGGUUUUCGGAUCGUAAAGCUCUGUUGUAAGUCAAGAACGGGUGUGAGAGUGGAAAGUUCACACUGUGACGGUAGCUUACCAGAAAGGGACGGUUAACUACGUG